UGGGGAAUAUUGCACAAUGGGCGAAAGCCUGAUGCAGCAACGCCGCGUGAGUGAUGAAGGCCUUCGGGUUGUAAAGCUCUGUCUUUUGGGACGAUAAUGACGGUACCAAAGGAGGAAGCCACGGCUAACUACGUGCCAGCAGCCGCGGUAAUACGUAGGUGGCAAGCGUUGUCCGGAUUUACUGGGCGUAAAGGAUGCGUAGGCGGAUUUUUAAGUGAGAUGUGAAAUACCCGGGCUUAACUUGGGUGUUGCAUUUCAAACUGGGAAUCUAGAGUGCGGGAGAGGAGAAUGGAAUUCCUAGUGUAGCGGUGAAAUGCGUAGAGAUUAGGAAGAACACCAGUGGCGAAGGCGAUUCUCUGGACCGUAACUGACGCUGAGGCAUGAAAGCGUGGGUAGCAAACAGGAUUAGAUACCCUGGUAGUCCACGCCGUAAACGAUGAGUACUAGGUGUAGGAGGUAUCGACCCCUUCUGUGCCGCAGUUAACACAAUAAGUACUCCGCCUGGGAAGUACGAUCGCAAGAUUAAAAACUC
rnacentral:rRNA from 1 species